AAGACUAUACUUUCAGGGAUCAUUUCUAUAGUUUGUUACUAGAGAAGUUUCUCUGAUCGUGUAGAGCACCCGAAACCACGAGGAGGAGCUGUAGCGUCAUCUCCUGAGCGUGAAGCUGGCUUUUGGUGUUGCUUAUUGCAACUGCCAUUGGUCAUUGAUGAUCGUUCUUUCCUUCCUUUGGAAGGUUAAGAGGGAGAAGACGCGGUCUGAGUGGU
rfam:Pteropus alecto contig110493, whole genome shotgun sequence.